GUCCACGCCGUAACGAUGAGAACUAGAUGUUAGGGGCUUAGACCUCUUAGUAUCGCAGCAAACGCGUUAAGUUCUCCGCCUGGGGAGUACGGCCGCAAGGUUAAAACUCAAAGGAAUUGACGGGGCCCGCACAAGCGGUGGAACAUGUGGUUUAAUUCGAUGCAACGCGAAGAACCUUACCUACCUUUGAAUCCACAGAAUCUUGCAGAAAUGUGAGAGUGCCUUCGGGAACUGUGAGACAGGUGCUGCAUGGCUGUCGU
rnacentral:rRNA from 1 species